AUGGCGCAGGGCGACGAUCACCGGAAAAUCAUUGCCCCGAAUGGAUCGGUUGCUUCAGCGAAUAAAAGAAAAGGUUCGCCCUGUCAGCAAGAUGGCGAUCCUUAUUUUCUAAAAAAAAACGGUGAUGGUGAUUCUCAAGCUGGCGGAACAACAAUGGGAUGCUCACUCCCGUACCUUCCAGAGGAUAUCUGGCAUCAUGUCCAUUCUCUAAUGCCACUGCGUGAUGCUGCUCGUGCUGCUUGCCUGUCGCAUGCCUUUCUACGAUCCUGGAGGUGUUAUCCCAACCUCACCUUCAAUGAGGAUGCACUUAGGCCUGAAGGAUGUAGGUACAGUGGUCGUUUCAAAGACGCAGUUGACUGUAUUAUGAGAAAUCACUCAGGCAUUGGUGUGAAGAUAUUGGAGCUCCGACCAUUUUGUAUCGCUUAUGACAAUCUUAAAAGGUGGCUUCGGGUUGCUGUUAAACCAGGGAUUGAAGAACUCAACCUUACGAUUUGGCAUCCAUUAAAAGAGAACUGCAAGUUUCCCAGAUCGCUUUUAUCUGAUGGGGUUAGGAACUCACUUCGGUGUCUUAAACUUGGUCGUUGUACCUUCCAACCCACAGCUGAACUCGGCCCCUUUCUAAACCUAACAAGUCUACGUCUUACACAUGUGCGUAUUACGGAGGAUGAGUUACAGGGUCUUCUUUCGAAUUCUCUUGCUUUAGAGAAGUUGGAACUGAUUGGGUGCAAGGGAAUAAUUUGCCUGAGGAUACCUUGUGAGCUUCAGCACUUCAGCUGCCUGAGGACUUCUGGAUGCAUGAGUCUGAAAUUGAUAGAGUGCAAAGCUCCAAAUCUCUCCACUUUAGUCUUUUGCGGAAAACCAAAACUAUUGCUUGGAGAAGCUUUGCAAAUGAAGACAUUACGCAUAUCACGUUCAGGUGUUAUCUGUUAUGCUCGUACUGAGCUGCCAUCCAUUAUGCCAAAUCUCGAUACUCUUUACUUAUGUUCCAGUGACGAGGUGGUCGAUACACCAAUGCUGCCUACCAGAUUCCUCUGCCUCAAGCACCUGACCAUUUAUCUGAUAUCAGGACCCUCGCCUUAUGACUAUUUUUCUCUGGUUUCUUUCCUUGAAGCAUCUCCUUCCUUGGAGACUUUGAGCUUGGAUGUGUUGAAGAAACCUAUGGAUAAUGAAACAGUUUUUGGACAAUUCCCACAUUUGAGGCAGAUGACUGAAGAUCGGCAUUGCCACCUCAAGAAUGUGAAGAUCACAGGGUUCAGCUCUGCAAAAGGCUUGGUUGAGCUAACCUGUUAUAUCCUCAAGAACGCAGUGUCACUCGAGUUUCUUACAUUGGACACCAAUUGUGGUUCUACUAGCAGGUGUUCUGACAAUGGAAUUGGGCGGUGCCCCUCCAAGGGCAACGGUCUAAGGGAAGCUUGUAGAGUGCUUCGGGCUAUUAGAACAUACAUUGAGAAUAAAGUUCCUGAAAGAGUUAAGUUUACUGUUGUGGAUCCUUGUAGCCGAUGCCAUAAGUAG
rnacentral:rRNA from 1 species